rnacentral:rRNA from 1 species
GAUGAACGCUGGCGGCGUGCCUAAUACAUGCAAGUCGAGCGAACAGACGAGGAGCUUGCUCCUCUGACGUUAGCGGCGGGCGGGUGAGUAACACGUGGAUAACCUACCUCUUAGACUGGGAUAACUUCGGGAAACCGGAGCUAAUACCGGCUCAUAUAUUGUACCGCAUGGUUCAAUAGUGAAUGACGGUUUUCCUGUCACUUAUAGAUGGUUCCGCGCCGGAUUAGCUAGUUGGUAAGGUAACGGCCCACCAAGGCGACGAUCCGUAGCCGACCUGAGAGGAUGAUCAGCCACACUGGAACUGAGACACGGUCCAGACUCCUACGGGAGGCAGCAGUGGGGAAUAUUGGACAAUGGGCGCAAGCCUGAUCCAGCCAUACCGCGUGGGUGAAGAAGGCCUUCGGGUUGUAAAGCCCUUUUGUUGGGAAAGAAAAGCAGCAGGUUAAUACCCCGCUGUUCUGACGGUACCCAAAGAAUAAGCACCGGCUAACUUCGUG